rnacentral:rRNA from 1 species
ACGCUCGACACCUACGGGAGGCAGCAGUGGGGAAUAUUGCACAAUGGGGGAAACCCUGAUGCAGCGACGCCGCGUGAGCGAAGAAGUAUCUCGGUAUGUAAAGCUCUAUCAGCAGGGAAGAAGAUGACGGUACCUGACUAAGAAGCACCGGCUAAAUACGUGCCAGCAGCCACGGUAAUNUGAGCGGGCGUGGCAAGGC